CUCAUCACGCAGUCAAAGUUUCCUUUUGCUUAGCUGGACAGACAGUUACAAGAGUUUGCUUGUGGGAGAACAUCUGAGCAUAACAGUUACCCCUGAAAGUCCAUAUGUUGACAAGAUUACACACUGCAAUUAUGUGACGCUUCAGUCUUUAGAUAACGAUGAGCCUGGCUGUGGAAUAGGUGGUGGCAGCAGCAAUGCUGACGUCCACCGAGCAGGACUCACUGUCCUCACCCAUGGACAUGCAGACGGCGCCCAACAAGACGAUGGAUCAUUUAAGAAAAUUCUCCAAUCAAGAAGAAAUUUGAAAGAGAAAAUUGAAAAUCUAGGUGGUUCAAAGAUUCGUGUUGUUUUCAGAGUUAUAAUGGAAUAAGCCAGGAUCUGCUGCAUUCUAACCGAUUGAUUCCUGUCAAUGUAUGGCAAUGAAAACAAAAAGAGGGCCUAUAGUCUAGGCUAAACCAGUUCACUCGGGCUGCUAUACGAGCAUACCACAGACUGGCUUACAGACAACAGAGAUCCACUUCUAUCAGUCAUGGAGCCUGGGAAGUCCAAGGCAUCAGCUAGAGUUGAUACUACCUGAUUUUCUAACACCUGGGAAAUUCAAGCUGUUGGUGUUUCAAAUAAAGGUCUGCGCACGGCUGAUGCACUGCGGUGUACAAAGAUGUACAAAGAUGAUUUCCCGGCCAUGAACAACAGCGUUACGAGAGUCCAUGAAAAGGGCCAAUCUCCAGCACGAAAACUCCGGGAGCUUGAGUGAGUAGAAACAAUUGUUGGAGCUCCAGCAGCCAUCUUGGAUCACGAGGUAACAUUGAGGAUGGAAGCUAGCAUGGUGGAACAAAAUUAUAACAGCCCCUGCUUUUGAUGGCAUGUGGAUCUGCCAUUCCAGCCUUGGCUUUCUAUUAUGUGGGAAAUAAAUAAAUGCGUAUUUCAUUUAAGCAAUAGUUAUUUUAGUUGUCUGCUAUAUAUAGCAGCACCUAAUUCUAAUUAACAUAAAUUCAUUUUUCUUCACCUUGUUUCCCCGUCAUAAUACUCAUCGCAGGUUGGUAUUAACUGCUUAUUUGAUGAUCAAUCUUCAGUGCUCGACCCAAGCUCCUUCUCUGGUUCCCCAUGGCUACUUCACGCCUGGCUCAGUGUCUGGCACAUUUUAGGCAUUCAGUAAGCAUUUGUGGAAUGAAGGACUGUAGAAGCGCCUAAACCUCCACCUCGCACCUCUUUUCCCUUUCCUUCUUCCUUUAGAGCUCAUCCCAGCUGCCAACCACUUCCGUCCGAUUGAGCCACUGUUUAUCUCUUCCCAUCCCUAAAGCAAACCCAGCCUCCCCUCUACACCAUCCAAGCACCUCAUCCCCCACCAUCCCCUCCAUCUCCACGCAGUUCUCUUCUCCAAGCUAGGGAUGGCUGGAUGCACUCUGCCAGUUACAAGGAUGGAGAAGCUGACUCUUAAAAGGAGGCAGGAGGGCUGGGUGCCAAUGCAGACCUUCUUGCCAAGCACAUGACACUAGAUUCCACGUGGCCCUGCGGGUUUGGGUUCCUACGGCGCUGAGGGAAUUUUGAGAGGUAAUUCCCUACCUAAAUCAGGACCUUACAGCUUCUUGAGGUGCCCCUUAGCCAUGGCCUAGGCCUGGACUCCAUGGGAGGGGCCCUCCUCACAGGGCAGAGUUCAUCCUCAACCUUGCCCAAUCCCCGUGGUCUCAGCCCCGGAGUCUGUCUCCAGGACCUGGUGCAGUAGCUGCUGAGAUGAGGAAACCUGCCCAGGGAAGGGCAGAGGCUGCCGAGGUGUCCAUCUCAACCUGCUUUGCCUCCUCCUCUGAAAGAGGAGAAAAGAGUUUUUAACAGCCCUCACCCCAUAUAUAUACCCUAUGGUAUAUGUAACUUAAUUCUAAUCUUUGGAUAGCUGGCUCCUCCCUGGUCUGGUAAACUUAAUACUCUGCUCUAUUUCUUUUUUUUUACCUAGAGGUGGUCUUUUUUUUUUUUUUUUAAACUAUGGCAAAAUAUACAUAACAUAAUGUUUACCAUUUUAAUUAUGCACAAGUACACAACUCGAUGGCAUUCACAUUCACAAUAUAUUCACAAUGUUAUGGAACCAUCACCACCAUUUAUACCCCAGACUUUCUCAUCAUCCACAACAAAAACCCUGACCUACAGACAGCGUCUCUACCUCUCCGUCUGUUUCCUUAUCAGGGACUCCGCUUACACUUGACUGUUCUCUGGCCUUGGCCUUGUCGCUGAUCCUACCUGUAUGCCUGGCCUCCUGAGGAACGCAUCCCAGGACUGCCCUGGCUCUUGUAACAUCAUUUCACUGGACUCCUGAUACUGGCUGCCUCUCUGCUCUUGUCCCUUUUGGAAAGGACCCUAUAGAUACCGGCUGCUAAAAGGGGUGCUCCCUAAGCAUCAAGAGUUUAGGACAUUGUCUGUCCCACCCUUGGGAGCUGACCUACCUUCAGGUCAUAACCCUGACAAUCUACAUCCACUGUAGGUAAUGAGACUGCUCUGUCUUUCUAACCACCAUCUCCUUCCAAAUACUCAGUACCUCAUCCUUCUCCUC